rnacentral:rRNA from 1 species
CCCUUAGAUGUCCUGGGCUGCACGCGCGCUACACUGGAAGUUACGGAUUGAGAUACUACCUUGUCCGAAAUGGUUCGGGUAAUCACCUAAAAGCUUGUCAUAAUUGGAAUGGAUUAUUGUAACUAGUAAUCCUGAACGAGGAAUUCCUAGUAAGUCCCAGUCAACAGCUGGUACUGAUUACGUCCCUGCCCUUUGUACACACCGCCCGUCGCUACUACUGAUUGGACGUUUAAGCAAGAUUUUUAAACACUGACAGUGUGUAGUUCACGCUAUACUACAGUGAGAAGAAGAAGAUCGAGCUUACUUGUCUAGAGGAAGUAAAAGUCGUAACA